UACGUAGGGUGCAAGCGUUGCCCGGAAUUAUUGGGCGUAAAGAGCUCGUAGGCGGUUUGUCGCGUCUGCUGUGAAAACUCGGGGCUUAACUCCGGGCCUGCAGUGGGUACGGGCAGACUAGAGUGCGGUAGGGGAGACUGGAAUUCCUGGUGUAGCGGUGAAAUGCGCAGAUAUCAGGAGGAACACCGGUGGCGAAGGCGGGUCUCUGGGCCGUAACUGACGCUGAGGAGCGAAAGCGUGGGGAGCGAACAGG
rnacentral:rRNA from 1 species